rnacentral:rRNA from 1 species
AUUGAACGCUGGCGGAAUGCUUUACACAUGCAAGUCGAGCGGCAGCGCGGGGGCAACCCUGGCGGCGAGCGGCGAACGGGUGAGUAACAUAUCGGAACGUACCCCGUCGUGGGGGAUAACACAGCGAAAGCUGUGCUAAUACCGCAUACGACCUGAGGGUGAAAGCGGGGGACCGUAAGGCCUCGCGCGAUGGGAGCGGCCGAUAUCGGAUUAGCUUGUUGGUGAGGUAAAGGCUCACCAAGGCGACGAUCCGUAGCUGGUCUGAGAGGACGACCAGCCACACUGGAACUGAGACACGGUCCAGACUCCUACGGGAGGCAGCAGUGGGGAAUUUUGGACAAUGGGGGCAACCCUGAUCCAGCCAUUCCGCGUGAGUGAAGAAGGCCUUCGGGUUGUAAGACGUCUUCUAGCAGGAACG